UCUUGGUCAUUUAGAGGAAGUAAAAGUCGUAACAAGGUUUCCGUAGGUGAACCUGCGGAAGGAUCAUUACAGAAAGUAAACGCGGAUCAAACCGCGAACUUCUAAACCUUUGACGAUCGACUCAUGUUGCCUCGGCGGGUUCUCCCGCCAGAGGAUACAUUAAAACUCCUGAUUAACGGUGUUGUCUGAGCUACAAGCAACGAAUCAAAACUUUCAACAACGGAUCUCUUGGUUCUGGCAUCGAUGAAGAACGCAGCGAAAUGCGAUAAGUAGUGUGAAUUGCAGAAUUCAGUGAAUCAUCGAAUCUUUGAACGCACAUUGCGCCCCUUGGUAUCCCGAGGGGCAUGCCUGUUCGAGCGUCAUUUCACCACUCAAGCCUGGCUUGGUGUUGGGCGACGUCCCCUUUGGGGACGCGCCUCGAAACGCUCGGCGGCGUGGCACCGGCUUUAAGCGUAGCAGAAUCUUUCGCUUCAAAAGUCGGGGCCCCGUCUGCCGGAAGACCUACUCGCAAGGUUGACCUCGGAUCAGGCAGGGAUACCCGCUGAACUUAAGCAUAUCAAUAAGCGGAGGAA
rnacentral:rRNA from 1 species